ACCUAUAUAGCUCUGCUCUCUUGCUCGCUCUUUCACUCACCAUUGUCGUCUGAGAUAUCCGGCGAGAGUGCUCUGGAUGAGAGAAGUCAUCGGAGGGCAGCACUUGAAGCAUCUCUUCAUGAGGUUUUAUUUUAGAUAGUAAAAUUUGUGAAUGG